rnacentral:tRNA from 1 species
GGCAAGAUGGCCGAGCGGUCCAAGGCGCCACGUUAAGGUCUUACCCUUAAUCCCAACCUUCGAAAGAGGUUCCGUGGUCCGAAAGGGCGUGGGUUCGAAUCCCACUCUUGUCA